AUUGAACGCUGGCGGCAGGCUUAACACAUGCAAGUCGAGCGGGGUGAUGGUGCUUGCACUAUCACUUAGCGGCGGACGGGUGAGUAAUGCUUAGGAAUCUGCCUAUUAGUGGGGGACAACGUCUCGAAAGGGAUGCUAAUACCGCAUACGUCCUACGGGAGAAAGCAGGGGAUCACUUGUGACCUUGCGCUAAUAGAUGAGCCUAAGUCGGAUUAGCUAGUUGGUGGGGUAAAGGCCUACCAAGGCGACGAUCUGUAGCGGGUCUGAGAGGAUGAGCCGCCACACUGGGACUGAGACACGGCCCAGACUCCUAUGGGAGGCAGCAGUGGGGAAUAUUGGACAAUGGGGGGAACCCUGAUCCAGCCAUGCCGCGUGUGUGAAGAAGGCCUUAUGGUUGUAAAGCACUUUAAGCGAGGAGGAGGCUCUUUUGGUUAAUACCCAAGAUGAGUGGACGUUACUCGCAGCAUAAGCACCGGCUAACUCUGUGCCAGCAGCCGCAGUAA
rnacentral:rRNA from 1 species